rnacentral:rRNA from 1 species
UACGGAAGGCAGCAGUGGGGAAUAUUGCACAAUGGGCGAAAGCCUGAUGCAGCUAUGCCGCGUGUAUGAAGAAGGCCUUAGGGUUGUAAAGUACUUUCAUCGGGGAGGAAAAAACAAAACUAAUAAUUUUAUUUCUUGACGUUACCCGAAAAAGAAGCACCGGCUAACUCCGUGCCAGCAGCCGCGGUAAUACGGAGGGUGCUAGCGUUAAUCAGAAUUACUGGGCGUAAAGAGCACGUAGGUGGUUUUUUUAAGUCAGAUGUGAAAUCCCUGGGCUUAACCUAGGAACUGCAUUUUGAAACUGAAAUACUAGAGUAUCGUAGAGGGAGGUAGAAUUCUAGGUGUAGCGGUGAAAUGCGUAGAUAUCUGGAGGAAUACCUGUGGCGAAAGCGGCCUCCUAAACGAAUACUGACACUGAGGUGCGAAAGCGUGGGGAGCAAACAGGGAUUAGACC